UUUACCAGAUUUAUUUAUGAUGAUGUCGUUGUCGUUGUUGUUGUUGUCAAAAUCAAAAAGGAUAUAUUUCCAAAUAUUUAUUGGUUUCGGCUCAUCAGUGAGUGUGUCUGUGUUUUCACUUGUUUUUAUUCACAUUUUGGCCAAUAAAUGAAAAAAAAAAUUCAAUCAUAUCGUGUGUGUUUGUGGCGAUGGAUGGAAAAAAAGUGUGGCAGUCAAUCCACAUGCACACUUCAAACUAAAUAAAAUAAAUCUCUCCAUCCUAAUUGCCAUUAUUCAAUGCAACAGCUAGAGAAUUCUUUCAGUUUUUUUCUGUGAUUACCAUAAAAGAUACGUAUAAAAAGAAGCUUGAAUACAUAUUCAUCCCGGAAGUUAAAAUUGUUUGUUUGAUGUACACUAUUUUGAUCGAAAUCAUCAUCAUCAUCAUAUCAUCAUCAUUAUCAUUAUCAUUAUUAUUAAUAUAAUAUGGCUAAUUGAAGUUGGAGUUACAAACAAAGACCGCCUAAAAGAAACCGAAAUCGAAAAAGGACGUAAAUACGAACUACUAGCUAAUGAGCUAGAAAUGACUUAUCAUGCAAAAGUCUUCCAGAUUCCUGUCGUGAUCACUUGGGACGGACUAGUAACCCACCACCACCGAAAACACCUACAGAAAAUUGGGGUGGAUAAAAGGCUACAAGCUUACCUUCAAUACAUAACAAUCAAAAGGGUGCUCAUAGAUGCUAGAGCAGAACGCCCGUGUCAUGAUAAGGAUUUAAAUGAGUUGUUCGACGUUGCCGAACAACAAGACGAAAAUUUGAUACAUAUUUAACUUUUUAUUUCCAUUUGUAUUUUUUGAUGCUCUUAAUACCAUAAUAAAUUAAAUUCAUUAUCAUUA